AGAGUUUGAUCCUGGCUCAGAUUGAACGCUGGCGGCAUGCCUUACACAUGCAAGUCGAACGGUAACGCGGGGGCAACCCUGGCGACGAGUGGCGAACGGGUGAGUAAUAUAUCGGAACGUGCCCAAGAGUGGGGGAUAGCUCGGCGAAAGCCGGAUUAAUACCGCAUACGAUCUAUGGAUGAAAGCGGGGGACCGAAAGGCCUCGCGCUCCUGGAGCGGCCGAUAUCUGAUUAGCUAGUUGGUGGGGUAAGAGCCCACCAAGGCGACGAUCAGUAGCUGGUUUUAGAGAACGACCAGCCACACUGGGACUGAGACACGGCCCAGACUCCUACGGGAGGCAGCAGUGGGGAAUCUUGGACAAUGGGGGCAACCCUGAUCCAGCAAUGCCGCGUGAGUGAAGAAGGCCUUCGGGUUGUAAAGCUCUUUUGUCCGGGAAGAAAUCCUUUUGGCGAAUAACCGGAAGGGAUGACGGUACCGGAAGAAUAAGCACCGGCUAACUACGUGCCAGCAGCCGCGGUAAUACGUAGGGUGCAAGCGUUAAUCGGAAUUACUGGGCGUAAAGCGUGCGCAGGCGGUUGUGCAAGACAGAUGUGAAAUCCCCGGGCUCAACCUGGGAACUGCAUUUGUGACUGCACAGCUAGAGUGUGUCAGAGGGGGGUAGAAUUCCACGUAGCAGUGAAAUGCGUAGAUAUGUGGAGGAAUACCGAUGGCGAAGGCAGCCCCCUGGGAUAACACUGACGCUCAUGCACGAAAGCGUGGGGAGCAAACAGGAUUAGAUACCCNNGUAGUCC
rnacentral:rRNA from 1 species